GUCCGCUUCCCCGCGGCCGGCCCCGCCGUCCGGGCCCCCGCUGCCGGGGGCCACCGGAACCGCGCGCCGGGGCGGUGGGGAGCGGACGCCGGGCUCCGAACAAAGGCGACGGUGGGGACGGAGGGGGGCGCGGAGCCCCGGCCCCAGGGGCGGCGGUGCGACGGAUACUCACAGGAAUAUGUUUACUCAUUGAAGAUUGUGGCCUAAUCAUACAGCCGGUCCCGAGGCGGCGGCGACACAGGCGGCGGCGGCGGCGGCUGCAGGGCAGGGGGUAGCGGUGGUCGUCGCGGGGCGGCGGCGGCUUCGCAGGCGGCGGCGGGGGCACCAGACUCGACCAUGCAGUGAGCGGCUCCGAGGAGAGCGCGUAGCCCGGCCGGCCCGCAGCACAGGGAGCCAAUACGCGCGGCGAGGCGCCCUUGCGUCACGAGCCCUCCCUUUUAUAGCCGGCGCGACGUGCGAACUCCCGGCCACCAAUCAGGGCCGGGGGCCCCGGGCCGAGCGCCGACGAGCGGGGGCGGAGGCCCGUCCCCCGCGGACGUCACCGCGCGGCGGCCGCUGCCGGUGUGAACCGGUUGAUGAAUGGCGAAGUGCUGGAGUCGUAGCAUCUCCCGGGCGGGGCGGGGCGGGGCGGAGCGGGGGGAGGGCCNNNNNNNNNNNNNNNNNNNNNNGGGAGCCUCCAGGGGAUCGGCCGGAAACCCCGGUUGUCAUAGUUAAAGCCGCCGAGGGGCGCGCGCAGGUCACGUGCGGAGCUUUGAAGUUGCCUCCACUUAGAACGCGAUCCCUGAGGGCUGGAAGUGUGUCUCAGCUGCGACCCUACUUUAUUCUGCCCGAAGUCAAACCACAGUCCUCUGUGCCAGCGGUUUACCUUGGCACCUGCGCCACUGCCAUCUCCGUCAUCAAAUCGUAUUUAUGUCGCACGACCGACCGCUGGACCCGGUGACUCAACCCCGUGGAUGCCACGGCCCUAGGCUUGCGCUAGGUGAACCCUCGUCCCCGGGGGCACUUCCCAAACUUUUGCUGGGGGAGCCCGGGAGAGUCCCCGGUGAGGCGGAUGCAACCCCACGCUCCCCGGAGUCUUUUUUCGGUCACGCCUCCAUACUACAUACGCGGGCAACUGCAGUUGGCUCAGUCGUGGCGUUUCGAAAUCACAUGCAUCCUUUGUACUGCUGCUCACUUGAUGUGUUGUCACAGAUAAUGAAAGUUCUGUGGCUCCACUGUGUUCAUGAUUUAGGCCCUUACGAAGUAAAGCCUCAUCGUAAUUGUUUUGUGCUACACAAGGGCAAUUUUGUCACUUAUAAUCCGGAAACCCCCUUUCUCCUCUACUUGAUGGAAGGGACCAAAUAG
ensembl:lncRNA